rnacentral:lncRNA from 1 species
GGAGAGUCAGAAAGCACAGAGACAAACAGAGGAGAGAACCACACAUGAGAAAGAUGAACAAAGUAGUGCAAACAGCAAAUAGAAAGGGAUGCGGGCAAGAGAAAGACAGAGAGAAAGCGCCAAGGAAAACAGAAAGAAAAAGGGAUAUGGAGGAAGGCUCUCACUUAUUUGUGAGAUGCUCAACGUAUUUCAAAAUAUGAAGGCCCUUACGGGUCAUGCUUAUUUUACAUCUGAAGGCAACUGAACCUUACCAUUUACGGUCAACAUAAUGUUAGCAUUUACUAUGAUAAAUAAUUAUGCUACUACCUUCUGAAGAUUCAAGAACAACAUCUUCAAAUGAGUAAUGCAUAUUUUUCAUCUUCCGAAGAUUCAAUAGCAUAAAGGCACUUACAGUUCAUGCAUAUUUUACAUCUGAAGACAACUGAAGCUUACUAUUUAUAGUCAACAAAAUGUUAGCAUUCAAUAUGAUAAAUAAUUAUCCUACUACCUUCUGAAGAUUCAAGAACAUCUUCAAGUGAGUAAUGAAUUAUUGCAUUUUCGUCACCAGGAAGAUAGGCAUGCAAACACUUCUACAACUUCAAGUAAUGGAGUCAUAGUUUCCACCAAUAGUGAAACUAAGUCAACUCUGAAAAGGUUGGACAUACACUCGAUCCUGAGCACAGCACCACAUCCUAAUUAAAGAUCAUGCCUACUCUGUGUAUAAACAAGCUAGUUAUUGUAUAUUUCUCAAAAAGAAUAUUUUCAUUUAAAUUAAAAAAGGUAAUACCUGAAGGUUCACAAGUGUCUGAGUAUUUAUUCCAUAAAGGUUUAUUCGACCCAAUAGUACCACGUAAUCUUUUAAAAGGUGUUCUGGGUGAGUUAUUUCAGCUCCACGGUUUCUUUCCCUUGAAUCCAAGUUCAAAAAUGUAAAGUAUAGCACUAGAUUCAGUCUUGAUAUAUCAGAUAUAUGAUACAAUAAGUACGAAAAAGUUUAUAAGAACUAUUUGAUAAAAGCGGUAAAUGUUACAAAGAAACCAGGUGAAAAAGAGAUGCGCUUACUAUUCCAAAUGCAACGCCAUUGAAGGCCGUGUGGUACUCAAAGCUUGGAGUUGCAAAUUCUGGAUUAGGAUACGCAAAGAACAAUAGAAAAGACAGGCUUGCCCAGAAGGAUGUAACUGAAAAACAAGUAAACCGCAAGAAGUCAUUGGUGGUUGAGAAAGACAACCUAAAACUAGCAUUCAAAAAUCAACAUCUAAAUUGUUUGUAAAGUCUCUAUGCUUACCAUUCUGUCCAGAGAUAAUAAACUCAUCGACGUAUCCAUGGACCAUCAACCAAAAAGAAAGUAUGACAAGCCCAAAGCCGACUCCAGCCAUAACAUCAAUCAAGCUAUGCAUGCCUAAGUACACCCUGCCUGAAUGGACAAACAUAAAGAACAGAAGUCAUACACCUAAAAGAAGAAUUGUCAAGGACCAAAAUUAUAAACCAAGAUUAGAUCUCUUUUUCUUUCACAGAUGAAUAUGGCAUUCAUUUCUCAACCCCUCAGUGCUGUUACUAGAAUAUAAAAAAAAAAUAGUUCUGCCAAGUAGAAGUCGUCUCACCUACACCAAUUAGCAUGACAAGCAAGAAAACUAGUCCGAACAUAGCGGCAACCGCAAUUCCUUCUCUUUGGGGAUAGUAUAUAAGUACAUAGUGCAACAAAUAUCUGCAAGAACCAUAAAAAAAGAUAAUAAAAGGUAAGGCGCAUUCCGAUACAUUAUACCAUUGUGCGCAUUAAUGCUACUAAAUCCUCAAGGAGCUUGUGUGAUGAAAGGACCUUCAUACCCCUUAUCACUAAUUUAUGAGAUUGAUUAAUCUUAUAACGCAAAUCACAGGAAAAAAAAUUAAAAUUUUACUUUUUGGAAAAAAUAAACAGUGACAAAGGGACUACUCAAUACAAUCAUCGAAAACGAAGAAAUUACCCUGACAAGCAUACAGUAUUCAGACAGUGCGAAGAUGGCAAUCCGUAUUCCAUGGCAUUCUCCUUCUCAUCUUUUGUAGCAGUCACUCUUCUCACAGGUGGACUACUUGGUCUAGGAGCUGAUACCAGAUCCUAUAUAUCCAUAUAACAAAAAAAAAUCCGAUAAAUAAAAAACAAGCAGUGGCUUGAACUUACAAAGAUCACUAGCUAGAUCACUCCACCAAGAAUAAUAGCUCGAAACUAAUAUCUAGUUACCUUUAUGGAAUUCCCGACAUAAUCACAGAAAGCCAUCAACAGGGUCAUCUGUCUGGCCAAUUUGCCAUGCCCACUCUGAGAAUUACCAACAAUCCAAGGAAAUUUAUCAUGUACCUUCCGCUCAGAGAGAGGAAGAAAGGGAAAACGAGGAAGAAAAAGGAGAAGACAACAAACAACAAGACCUACCCAGAAAAGAAUAGGAAGAAAUCCUGUAUAAAAGGGCACUGACACAACACAUGACAGCACCGAGAACAUGUUGUCCAGGGACCAGUGAUGCAACCUCUGCUCGAAAUCAACCAAGAAACCCUCAGAACUCGGAUCAAAACUCUACCUUGAGCACAAUUACACGUACAAGUUGGAAAUGUCAGUUAUGUAUCACAAAUUAAACAACAAAACCUGCCGAAAUCGCAGUAAGAUCACAUCUUCUUCACCCGUACACGAAAGUAGCGACGAAAAUCCAAAUUUUUUUACCAGAUAUAAGAAGACGAGAAUCCGACACAGCUCUCGUGUUCACCUGUAAACGAAGGAUCGACGGGGUAUCCGCAAGCACGCGGCGCGUGACCCAGGGCUGCGUCAUGGCUCUUACCCUCCGGGUGAGACCGAACAGCGACGAGGCCACCACCCAACCCAAGAUCGAAGAGAGGAUCAACGCCUGCCAGUACGUCACGCCCCCUUCCAUCCCUCCUCUCCUUCCUCCCUCCCUCCCCGCUCCCUGCUGCCGCUAAUAAAUCUCUACCGAAUCGGAAAUAAAGAUCCCACCUUUUCGAAACGGGAACAAAGGAGGGCCCUCUUACAACCCCCUCUGAGCUGUGAGCUCUCCCGCCUUUGAUGCUACGGGGACCUGUUCCACCGAAGUUGGUGGCGCUAUAAAUGAGGGAACUGCAGACUCGCUUAUACGCUCCAAUACGAUGAAAAAGACCAAAAAACCAACAAUUUGAACGUGCUACAGAUCCGAAGAAGUCAUCUUUGGCGGUCGCUCUGCGGAUUUCGGACGUCGAAGAGUUAAUCGAAACCAUAGGGAAGAUUACUCGGUGCCGAGGUCAGGGAACAGUGGUGGGGGGAUGGAAUGGAGGCCGCGCGUUUGUUCCUUGGUUUUUGGAAGAAGAAAAAUAACCCGCCCACCUCUACGAUUGGCUGCAGAGGCGGUCCCACAUGUCUGCUCGGACUCACAAAGCAGGUAACAUCUGGAGUACGUACAAACAGAUUCCCAUUUAGCCUUUGUUAUUUCUUUGUUCAAAAGGGGCUCACCGAUGCACAUUUGCACUUUUGAGUCCCCGCUUCGGCCUCCGAUCUCAAGACAGGAGGAACAUUAGCACGGAACACACAAAGUGGGUUGGAACAUUAAAAUUAUUUAUCUAUCUUUUAUUUUUAUAUUUUUAUUAGUAAAACAAAUAAUAUUAAAGUAAAUAAAUCUAGAUAUUUAUUUUUAUUAUCGAUGUAAUUUUUUAAAAUAUAGGAACCAAGAUAAGAAGGUUAACUAACUAUAGAAAUAAUUUCUAAUUAGCCUUGGAACCUCAUCGUCUUUGAAUUUGAAUUUGAUUCAGAUCAAUUAAGAGAUUAACAAAAAAUAGAAUAUUAUAUAAGUGACAAAUGUUCUUGGUUGCAUAAAAUUCUAUAUCUACAAAAAAUAGCAUAAAUUUAUGGAUCAAAUAUUACUUGUUACACAUAAUGGACUGCCCGGGUUAAUUGUGAAGAAACAGGAUUAAGAGAAAUAGGUAGCUAAUGUUUGAUGAGGAUGCAUGUUUUGAAUGAUAAUGAAGACAGCAAGAAUCAAGAUCAUGAGGCCACCACCAAUCUCUCUAAAUUUAUUCCUGUAUUAGAAAACAUCUUAGGCAUGCUCAUGGUAUUAUUGUGUGAUUCCAGAAAGCACUGAGCCAUGCUGAUGAACAUAGUAAACCUACAUUGUCUGGCAAAAAAUUACACGGCAGGAGAGCAGUAGCCAAAGACAACCAGCAUGGCCCCUUUAUAUUAAUAUCUAUAUGUAAGUAUGCAUCAAGAGAAUAAAUUGUCAUCGAUGUGCAACAUGCAGUUCAUCUAAAAGAGAACACAAGAAACAAAUUGAACAGACAUAAGAAUGAAGAAAAUACAUGAAGUUCAUCUAAAAGAGAACACAAGAAACAAAUUGAACAGACAUAAGCAUGAAGAUAAUACAAUGGAGUUCACAAUACAACGAUGCAGUUUCCACAAUAGUCAGCAAUAUAAAAACCACCACUCAUGAUUUUCUUUUGUAGCACAUCCACAAGCCACAAAAUUGAGAUAAAUGAUACCAGAGAAACAGAAACCAUGGCAAAGAGGAAGAUGAUUAGAGUCUGUAGCUAAUAAAGAUAAUCCAUUUUUGAAGUAUCAUCAGCGCAACCUCCUAGCCUCCCUUUCAGACUCGAGAAGUGUAAGGAUAUCACCUUCCCUCACUGGGCCCUUCACGUUCCUCAUGAUCAGCCGGUUUUGGUCGUCCAAGAACUUAACCCUAACCUGGGUAACCUGACCUCUAGAUCCAGUUCGGCCCAUCACCUUCACCACAACUGCAAGCUUAGCUUGAGCAUCCAUUGCUGUUCAUUAAAUUUAAUGUGGAAUGCAAUCAGAUCAGUUGCUCAACAUAAAUCAACAUCUAGAAGAAGAUGAAGAGCGUAGCAGCUCAACAAUAAAAAAAAUAUCAAAGAAAACAAAACAUGGUGAGCAUAUUGGAUGGUACUAGUAUCAACUGCAAGUCAACCUCUGUCAAUAAAGAAGAUAUGUCAACAAAGAGGUCAGUGAUGAUUCUAUUAGUUGCAUUCACAAUCUGCCAUUAGCAGGACAGAGCAUCCGUGUGAUUAUAUUUUGCUCAAAGUAAGCUGUAACUUGUCACUUCAUGAUAUGAAAGUUGACACACACACACAACAUGUGGUCUACAAUAAGUGCUAUUGCCUCACAAUGGAAAGAAAACAAGAUAAAACGACAUACCAACUGAGCAUUAUAUUCAUCAGUAAAAAGUUCCAAAAGUGCCACCAUCAAGGACCUGAGAUCUGACAGGUCAAAAAGACCUAGAAUAACUAUAUGAAUUAUUCAGAUAUCAAUCAUCUGGUACAAAUUUUCUGGACAAGUUCCGAGAAAAGAUUGUGCAUAAUCGAACAGCUUGGUGCUAGGUGAGCACCAAGUUGUCAGUUGCACUUGCAGACAUGAAAAAUGUGUGCACAGUACCAAAACCUAAUGCUACUAUCUUAACAGUGGGUGUUCCUAUGGCAGCAAUAUAUGCAUACACACAGGUAUUACCACCAUCUAAAACAAACUGAACAAAAAAAUUAAAAGAAUAUGGAAAAUGGAGAUACAAUGAAAACAAACCUAAGACAGCAUAGCACCUCCACCAAUGCUAGUCUGCUUGACUAUAAGGAUUGAGCUUCUACUAAAACUAUCUAAUCCUGCAGUGUUUUUUUCACUCUCUCCCAGUGAAGUCACCGGGCACUCUCCUAGGCGUGGCGCUUGCCUUCAACUAUCUAAUCCUGUAAGUGGCCCAGGCAGUGGGGGAACGCCCGAGCCAAAUCCAGUUUCGACCGAACCAGAUCAAUGUCUCUUCCAAACCUAUGGAUGAUCUAAGUGUCAAUAUUUUACUUGAUUUGAGGCCUCACAUGGAUGAUUUAAGUGCCUAACAUGUAUAUAACUUUUUAAUACAACUAAACAUAGAUGGGAAAAAAAAAAUCUAAUAUGUUUGCAGUACUCAGCACUUAUCGAGAAAAAUCCUAUUUCUAUCAUCUGACACAAAAAUGAGGCAAACACCACAACAUUUUGAACCCCUCUGUGCUUCAUGGAAUCAUAAUAUGGAAGUGAAAUAGCAAACUUUGCAAUCAAAAGAGGAACUUCUGACCUGAGUUGCAAGGAAAAAUACAACACUUAAACCUCUUCUACUCCUAUAUCUAGAUACACAGCUCAUAUAGCUCAAAAAGAUACCUCUAGUAAACUGUAAUUCCUUCUACUCCAAAGAUAAAGAAGAGCUACGAUGGAUUUGUAUCCACCGUUAGGGUUCAAAGAAGUGAUAAAGAAGGUUCACCGAAACUGACUUUCGGUUCUCCACCAACUCGUUAGAGAUCUGGAAACUUCUUCAAUCAAAAUAUUGUUCCAAUAAAAAAACAGUACAAUUUUCUUUCAAAAAAGAUGGAUCUUGGAGCAAACAUUUCGAAAUCGAUCUCCUGUAACAUACAUCGCAUCAUGUUUAGAUUUGAAUCUUAACCAAAAUCACUAUAAGAAACUAAAGAUUCAGUCCGUCCGACCAGAGCCGUACAAGAUCAUCUUGACUAGCAUAAAUACCAUAUGCUAUGUAUAAGAUGUAGAAGAAAGAAAGCGCGGAUGACAUGCCCCGAUCAUACUACAAAGACACCACAGAAUCCAUUGCUAAGAGAAGGAAGGAGAAAACAGAGAGAGAAAGAGUUCUUUGUUCUCAAACCUUGCCGAGAUCGAUUCAAGACGAAGAAUCCACAACGCACGCCUCGCUCGCUCGCCGGGAGAAGGCAAAGAAACCCUAGUUAGUUUAUAUAGACGACGAGUGAGAUGUGGGCCGGGCACGGCACGGCACGGUUCGACGGAAGACGAGUUGGCUAAUGGGCCGGACCGAAUAGAACCAAACCGAGGUUUCAUGGGUCCACAAUGUGAUGUCUCAAUAUUGUCCCGUUCUCGAGUCAAAAUUGGUCAAACUUCAUCCAAGAACCAAAUCGAUUAGAUGCAAUUCGAGUCAAUGUUGUACUCUUCCCUCUUCUUACACUAGUUCAAGAAAAUUUAGGUGAUCCAAAGACAAUCCAUGGUUACAACACUAGUUUUAAGAGAAGAUACAGGACAGGACCCAAAGACAGUUCAUAGUUACAACCGAGUUCCAUUGGAAGGUGGAUCUGUUCUUCUUCACCGCCAUUGCUUUGUGACAGCAAAGCUUUAGUGGGAGAGUAGAUGUGGCCGGACGAUCAAGUCCUGCAAGGCAAAUGACAGAGGGGAGGGAGAUCCCAUAGCGUAUCUGAAGGGUCGUGCACCAUGUCGAAGUACUCCUGGACUCCGUUCAUGGCGUAGAGCGACGCCGAGAACUGCCGCUCCACCUUCAUCCUCUCGAACUCGGAGAUCUCCGGGCCAACCUUGGGCAGCUCGAGACAAUCAAACAGCCACGAGUCCGACGGCAAUGGCGAGGAUGACCAGAACUCGAGAUCCUCACCGCCAUUGCUAAAGCACGGCCUGUACACUUCAUCAGCCAUUUGGCUGAUGUCCUGCUGGAUCUCGAGACAGGAAGCAACACUGCCAAGACUGUUGUUACUAGUGCAGCUUUCAGGUUCUAUGCUGCUCGAAGCGGCACUACUUGCGCCAGUGCAGGUUGCAGAAGGGUCGCAAGGAGAACUGUUGGACGCGGAAGGAUUGCUAGCGCUGGUAGUCUGCUUCUUGAGGUUGAGAAGAUUCUGAAUCCUCGACGCGAGAGGGGAGUCGGUGGCGACAUGGGUGAUGAAGUUUGUGCGAGUGUUGGAGCCACGGAGGAGGCAGGCGGCCUCGUCGUAGGCCCGGGCGGCCUCCUCCGCCGUCUCGAACGUCCCCAGCCACAUCCUUAUCUUCUGCGUGGUGUCCUUGAUCUCUGCCACCCAUCUUCCCGAUGGUCUUUGCCUCACACCUACAAACUUGCUGCUGCUGCUGCUCUUGCUCCUCUUCUUGGAUCUGCUUGCUGGUUUACAGACAGGGAUCUGGCGUGGAUGCCUCUGAGGUUGGAAGUGGAUUUCCAUGGAUGUGAUGGUGGGUUGUGGAGCUUGGCGUUGGACGAGGGAGAAGGAAGAGAGGAUGAGUUUCAAUUAUUGGGGAGGGGAGGGGAGAGAAGAUAUAUUGCAGGGAUGAUUGAGUUAAUGGAGGGCUUGUCAUGUCCUUCUUGUCAGUUUGCUCUUUGGACUUUGUGGUGUUCAGGUUGAUGACUGAGCAUCCUAUGAGAAAACAAUGAGAAUGUAGUUUGUGCUGAACAUGUCUAAAGCUCACAGAGCACAGUGCUUCUUCAUGGUUAUACCAAUCUACCCUUAUAAUUGACAUGGAGGCAUCAAACUCUUUGUCAUUGACAGUAAUAUUCUCUCUCUAAGUUGUUCAUAGGAUUCAAGUGGUGUGGCUGUUAAACCAUUGGUUUUUGCAUGCCAAUAAGCUGAUGAUUCUUCCAUUCAGGGGACAUAUCUGCCAAUACAAUGGAGGACAAGAACACUACGGGCAUCAAGAAGUCACCCACCUUGUUCUUGCUGGGUCAACUCCUACGAGGCAGAGACGUCAUGGACGCACGACCAUUCGCCAUUUGGCAGAAGCUGAGAGCUCUUCGUGGUACCCGACGACAUGGAUGCAUACAAAGCUGCAUCUUAAGCGAAGGAAGAAAGGGACAACGACGUAGUUCUAACAUUAGGUGAAAAGGGUGAAAGAACUCAAACUGGCUAUUGAAAGGAAAAGCAAAAGAAUGGAACAUAAAAUACUUUGCUUUUGCUCCUCAGAAGUUGCAGAUUGGAAGAUGAUCUCUCAGGUAUUAACAAUUCAGAAGAACUGUUCAUCUUGGAAAUUAAAUUGCCUCACCAUUUUGAAGAACAAAAGCUGCAUGUAUCAAUAUACAAUGGAUUAUUAGAAGGCCAUCAAAGUCAUGGCAGAUAACCAUAUCAUGUAGGCCUGUUUAUGAGUUAGAACAUGCAGUCCUCUCAUUCCUAAGUAUACUUUUGAUAGCUUUUUCUUUUUUGGUACAAUUCUUGACAUAUAUCAAUGAUAUAUGCUAAACUUAUAUUUCUAGAGAUAAAGUCGAAUUUCUUAAAGGAUAUAUAUACUAAACUUAAGUUUGAGGAGGUGGCUUUGUUGGUAUAAUGGUAUAUAAUAUGGAGUGGUUAGGAGGUCCAUAGUGUCUCUUUCAUGUUCUUGAAUGUCCCAAGACAAGCUUAUUUUUGUUUAUACAAUUGAGAGAUUCUUGUCUGGUGACCUGAAGACCAAUCUCAUGAAUGACAUCUCCACCUAAUAUAAGUUUAUCUAAGUUCAAAGAUGCCAACACUUUAUCUAUCAAAAGAAGAAACAGAAGCCAAACUAGUGAUGGAAUCAACAGUAGGAAUUAGUUCAACUGAGCAAUUUAUUUGAUGGAGGAGGUCAUCCCAAGCAUAUUAGAAUUGAGUGAUGACUGUUUCAGAAGAAUGGAUCCAUGAAGCAUGCAAUGAGAUGCCUAAAAACAAAUAAUUCCACCAAUUUUGAUUUGUUUGCUUUUGAGAUCUUCUAAGAUGAGCAAAUUUAAACACCAAAUAUAAGUUCAAUGAAAAAAUUGAAUCAAUAUGUUGAGCUCAUAUUGUUGGAGCAGCAAUACUAAAAUAUCCUCUGAUUAAAUUGUAGUCUUAUUAUUAUCCACGUAAAUAGAAAUUUUUUGUUUAUAAAAACUUGAUCACUUUAGGUCAUAAAAAAAUCUUAUAUUGACCGAAUUGAUAACACAAACACGAAAAGAAAAUAGCUUGAUAAAAGAAAACGUAAAAAGAAGAUAUAUCGAGAGAAUAGUGAUAAAAGCAUUGUUACACAAGUGAUAGGUCUUAUGUUUGAGUCCAUAUAUGAGCGUCAUGUAUAUGAUACAAUAUAAUAAUUUUUUUCCUAAUUUUAGAUAAAAUAAUAAGAGUCUUUAAUAUUCAAAUUUAUUGUUUUAGGUGUCACCAAUAAAAAAUUAUAUUAUCUGCAAGGCCUCAAAUCAUCUCCCUCCUUGUUAAUGUUGCAAAGAUUAACAAGGCAAAUGCCUGAGAGGGAACAAUUAGUUCACUUGCAUCACCAAGCAAAGUUUCUUCUUUGGAUGGAUCACAAGAAGGAUGAAUCCUUGAUCAGUGGUGGCUACAUCCACAAGAAUUAGAUACAAGAAGAAAAGAAAUGCCAAUGCUGGUCACAUCUCCAAUUACAAAACAGUCUCACAGUGCCAAUAAGCAAACCUAUCAACCUCAGAACAUCCAGUCUGAGUGUAGCAGGCAAAGCAAAGAAUGCUUCACCUCAAUCACUCUUUGAGGGGAAGAACACCUCACAGUCAAUAGAACUGCAGCAGAUUCGUCCAGCCAAACCUCCAUUUGACUAAAGUAUCAAUAUAAUUAUUUGUAUUCCACAAACAUGACAAAGCACUGAAAGAAGGUGAUAUCAUAUAAUUGCUGAGGCAAUACAGUCUUUUACUUCAUCUAUACUUCUAACCAGGCAAGAAAUAACGUCGACGAAAGCACCAUAAGAGUGCAUACAUGAUACACUCAUCAAACUGAGUGCAACCGUGAAGCAAGAGAAUCGAUGAAGGAAUCCAAGCAAAGAAUUAGUCCGCCGUUGCUCAGCAGACGAAGUAUCCAACGACGAGGGCGGCCAACGAGGCGAGGACGGCAGCCGGUGCAGCGAGGGUGGCAGCGGCGCCAGAGGAAGGGCCAGGGGCGGGAGCGUCGGCAGCGACAGCCUUCUCCACCAAGGAAGAUGCCGCGACGACAGCCAUCACGGCGACAGCGAAGAGCCUGAACUUAAGACCAGCUUCCAUUGUUGGUAACGACAAAGGUUGAUUUCAGAAGGAUGAGAAGAAGAGACAAGUGGGAAUGCCUUCAUGUGGUGGUGUGGUGGAUUUAUACGGUAGAGAGAGGUUGGAGUUGGAAGGGAAGAGGAAGGAAGGAAGGAAGCCGUCAAGGUUGGAGGAACGGCUGUGGAAGAAAGGAAGGAAUGAGUGGCUGUGAACGGCGAUGGGCGCAUGUCGACGACUGGGUGUAGGGAAGAGACGUGCGGCCAACCUUUAAUAUAUAUAUAUAUAUACACACACUUUUUUUGACCAAAUUCUAUUUUUAUUUUCCUUGGGAUGUAAUGUUGGAUGUCAUCAGAAUUUACAUGAAGCUUAACUUGAUAUGAUAUUGGCAUCAAAAAGAGUAUCUUAUACUUUGUUGGCAUGGAAUAUGAAAUAAUGUAAUUUUCCUUGUUUGAUAUUUAACUAUAGUUUUAUUUUCAAACAUACGUUGGUCUUUAAUUUCUCAAUUAGAUUAAUCCGGAAAAUCUAAAAUGAGUUAGUAGUAAUGUUUUCAUAUCAUGAUUUCUUAUUGGAUUUGAUCCUCAAUCUCAAACAUAUUGAUUGUUGUAAUGAAGGCCAACUUCAAAGAACAUAAUACAUGGUAUCACUAUAUGAAUCACCAACUAGGAAAUGUGGGUAGGAAAUAAGUAUAAGAAGACUGACGUCUACAUAUGUCAUUUCGGGAUUCGAAGGGUAGGAGAAAAAUAUCUUGUUUGGGUGAUUUUCUAAAAAAAUUAUUGGCAUUUCUAUUUUUUUUACUAGUUUUAAACUGUUAUAGUAUUUUUAUUUAACUCGUUUGUAAUAUUUUUAAUAUUUAUUAAGGCAUUGAAAGGAUAUUAGUAUUUGUUAUUUUUUUGUUAUUUACAAUUUAAACUUUAAAUAUUCUUAAGGUAUCCCAUUGUAAAUAGAUAUAUAUGUCCUUAAUUUAUAACUUAAUUUUAAUAAAAAUAUUUUUAUUCAUUUCCUAUAACUUUUUUUUUCUUGACUUAAUUUUAAUAAAAUCUUUUCAUUCAUUUCCUAUAACUAUUUCCCCCCCCCCCCCCCCCUUUNNNNNNNNNNNNNNNNNNNNNNNNNNNNNNNNNNNNNNNNNNNNNNNNNNNNNNNNNNNNNNNNNNNNNNNNNNNNNNNNNNNNNNNNNNNNNNNNNNNNNNNNNNNNNNNNNNNNNNNNNNNNNNNNNNNNNNNNNNNNNNNNNNNNNNNNNNNNNNNNNNNNNNNNNNNNNNNNNNNNNNNNNNNNNNNNNNNNNNNNNNNNNNNNNNNNNNNNNNNNNNNNNNNNNNNNNNNNNNNNNNNNNNNNNNNNNNNNNNNNNNNNNNNNNNNNNNNNNNNNNNNNNNNNNNNNNNNNNNNNNNNNNNNNNNNNNNNNNNNNNNNNNNNNNNNNNNNNNNNNNNNNNNNNNNNNNNNNNNNNNNNNNNNNNNNNNNNNNNNNNNNNNNNNNNNNNNNNNNNNNNNNNNNNNNNNNNNNNNNNNNNNNNNNNNNNNNNNNNNNNNNNNNNNNNNNNNNNNNNNNNNNNNNNNNNNNNNNNNNNNNNNNNNNNNNUUGGUUGUUAUUGCUUGUAGAUCAUUAUAAUAUAUAUUUUAUGUUUUUAGUUAGUUUAAUUGAGGAUAAAAGUUUAUUUAUAUUAUUUAUAAUAUUUUCAAGUAAGUUUUAUUAUAUUUUUUAUUAUGAUAUCAAAAUAUUAUAAUAAAUUAAUUUUAAAUUUUAUUUAGAUGUUUUAUUCUUAAAUUAUUAUAAAUACAUAUUUGAAUCAUAGUAUAAUAUAUCAAAUAAUUAUUUAGUAUAUUUUGAUUUCAUUUAGCAAAUCUAUAAUAUUUUCAAGUAUGUUUUAUAUCAUUUUCAUUCAGAUAGUAACAUAUCAAAAAAAUCAUAAUAUAUGGAAAUUUUAUGAGGAACAAUUUAAAUAUUUUUUAAUUAAAAAAUAUUUUCCCAAGAAAAAAAUAGGGGUACUAAUAAGAAAAUACCCACAGAAAUCGCCUAUCCAUUUUACCCAUUUACGGUUUUCUAUUUCCUCUAUAUGAAGAGACCAAUCACUAGAAAGGUAGAAAAGAGUGGUAGAGGCGUACCUUUUAACUAUCGAGCAGCGCCUCAGAUCGAACUCUUUGUGCGGUGCAAACAAUAGUCAUCCAUCUCGGAACACACGCAGCACGACGCCGAGCUGGUUUCGAGUGCGAUGGAAGCGGCAUCGGGGGCGGCGGCCGGAGACGUAGAGAGCAGUGCUGCUGUGAAUCGCUGGACGGUGUCGACGAACUGGAUCGUCACCGGGGGAUCCCUCCAUGACGCCAUAUCCUUCGAGACUUCCGAGGAGGACGCCCCCACCGCCCCCGGGAUCUCGACGCCUCUUAUCCUCCUCAGGCCCCCGGCAGAAGCGGCGGCUGAGGAGGAAGAGCGCGGCUUCCUUCCCUGCGAGGUGACGGGUAAGUCCACUGACCUUGACAUUAUCUUUGGUAGAUUGUGCAAUACAUCAAAUUGGCAAACGAUUGUAGUGGAUGAUAUGAGGGGAGGCUUUGAUCUUAUAUGAUUUCCUAUGCAACAAUUUUUUUGGUUGAUUCGAUGUGGGCUUCCGUGAUGUGGGGCUCCAUAGAUGUCUGGAACCAAUUAUACUGAAGUAUUUCGGGAAUUCUUCUUUUGGAUCCUUCCAAUCCACAGAAUUUUAGGGUUUCACGUUCUUUGGAACGAGUAUCUGCAACCAGUUAACUAAUAUCUGAGGUUGAUUUUUAGAUAUAUCCUUCUCUCAACCAAGCUUAUAUGGUUCUGGUGCCAUCAAGUUCCCCUUCUUUCUCAUCAACUAGGAUUCGUGCUAUCUUCUUUAUGUAUGUCAGUGUGAGAAAUGACAUGAAAGAGUACUACUAAAUAAUUACGUAUGAUAUAUACUACAAUACUCAAUUUUAGGUGUGUCAGAGGGAGGGAGGGUGGAGCAAUCGAUAAAAAAUGUUUAUUUAGUGAUGAAGCUAACCCUAAUUCUGGUUCCAUCAAGUUCCCCUUUUUUGUCAUCAAGCAAUUUCCCCCCUCGUUUGGCAAUUGACUCUAGGAUCAUUUUCUGCAGUGGCAAUUGCUUCCCUAAGAUUUCCUAGGUAGUUGCUCGAGAUGGGAUGUACACUUUUCUUUAUGAAAUUGCUUGGUCAAGAUAUACUCGUGGGUUAGGAUAUGUUCCGCUUAACAAGGGCUUCUCUAGUUUGAGAGUGAGGAACUUCCAUGAUAAUACACAAGGUAAAAGAAGCAAUACUGGGAAUAAGGAAAAAAGGUAUGCCUUUAUGCUUUAACAGUUCUCAUAUAUGUACAAGAGUUGUGGGAGAAAAAUUUGCUGUUUAGAGAUCUGUUGUCCAAUGAAAUCUUUACUAGACGCGGUAACUAGAAUUUUCCAUACAAAUUCUUAUAACAAAAUAACUUGUCUUCCUGUUCUAUUCGAGUAUUAGGAUUCUUAGAUCCAAUUAGAUGCAAUAUAAAUAUAGAGUUUUUCUAUAACAUCAACUAAACAUGUUGAAACAUAAUACAUAUAAAUAUAAUUGAAUAAUGAAAAAUCUAACUCUAUUAUCGCCAAGAGUUGCGGGAGGCUUGGACUUUUUUUUCCUUACUUGGCUGCAAGUGGACUGGAAGCUUUUCUCCGUCCAUCUUCACUAGGAUUGGCUGUCCAUUUCUACCUUUAGCUGGAUGGACCUCUUUUGCUUAUCUUGAGCCAUGAAGUAGUCCUCCAUUGAUUAGUUAUUGUGUUACAUGUUGCUCUAUUACGCCCAUAUCUUGGUAAACUGGCCUUCUUGUGCUGAAUCCUGCUGAACCAACGUGCGAGGAUUGUACCAAGCUAUCAGACCCGUAUUUUUGCCAUUUGAUGCCCCAGUAGGUUGAUUUAUGAUUGAAUAAACUCUUGCAAAGCUGCAAAUUGAUGUGAGUCCAGGUUUGGACCACAUGCUGAUUGGUACCUAUUAUAAAUUAUAAUAAAACUAUGACAUAUAUGCUUUGUGGUGACAAGCAUCACUUGAAAAUUUUAAUUUAUUAAUUACCUAUAGAAGUGCCAAUUAUCUUUUUCAGUCGCCACCAGCAACUCUCUCUCUCUCUCUGCAGUCUCUCCUCCCUGCUUAAUCUGUUCUUGUUUUCUUUUCUUCCUCAUUAUAUGAUUGUGGUUCAAUACUCAUGAUACUACCUCCCACAUCCAUGUAAUCCAAGCUCAAUUUAUGAUUAUAUUUGAUCAGUUUAGGCACAAGUCCAGCUUGAGCCUAGUUUAUGUGUGAUGCCAAGCCUUUUAUUGAGUUUUAGAUUAUUAUAAUUUGUUGCAUUUAUUUUGUCAUCAUUCUACUUAGGAUAAGUAAUCCAGACAUCCAUUAUUAUAAACUAAUUCCUAUAUGCUAGAGUUUAUUUGAACAUGAAUGGUAGUCAAAAUUAAAGUUAUAGAAAAGGUAUUAGGCUCAUUGGCUGUUUAUUGACUUGGUCUUAAGAUCACUUAGAUGAACUAAUAAUUGGAGCAUAUGAGAGAAGCUCGUGACAGAAAUGUUCACUUGAAUUGGUUUCUUGUGAAAAAAAUAUCAUCUGCCAGUUGUGUUUUGUGCAUUCUCUAUCUGUUCAUUGUUUAAUAAUUCUGUUCUUCCUCAUUUUACAUCUGUAACUUUCAUGUCAUCUGUGUUCAACAACAAAACCACACAUCUCUAUGAUGAAUCAUUUAAAAAUUAUGAAGUUAUAUCAGUUCAGGUGUUAUUAUUUGAAUUUAAAUACUCAUGGGAAGCAAGAAUAAUAAAGUUAUAUCAGUACUUCAGAUUGCUUGUUUUGACUUUGUGGACAGAAGCAUUUAUCGGCUGUAACUCAACUUAUUGAGGUUUGUGUACCUUCCUAGACUAUAUGGAUGCACUUCUUCUGAGAACUAUAGUUUGUUAAAGCACCAAUGCAUUACUGAAUCAUUGCAUAUUUCUCAAACAGCAGCCAUCUUUUCGUUCUUUAGCUAAUUUAGCAAUUAUUUGCUCUGCUGCAGUUUGUUUGAAUAGAAAAUAUGAAAUACAUAGGAUAUAUGCUCGCAGUACAGCUCGAGUAUACGAGGUAUACUAUGCCACAGACAAGCAGAAUAAAUGCAAGGAAUAUCUGUGCACUGUGCGCUGUGGUGUUGCUUCUGAAGAAGUGACACCAUCUUCUGAUGUGGCUUCUUUCGAAUGUGAGAAUGGAAGUUAUGCAACUUCAGAUAAACAAGACAAGAUGUCUCUUGCUGAUAGUAACAGUAGCAAUGAGGAUGGCUGGGUAGAAGUGAAGAUACCUGACACCCCUUCACAUGAUCACAAAAUUAAUGUUCUACCAAGGAAAAUUGAUGGAAAUUCCAACACAGAUUGUCAGGUAAUUAUGGUUUCGUACCAUUUUAUUAUGCGUCACUUUGUUUGUCAUGUUAUUCUUAGUUUCUUACAACUUGUGACUUGCAGAUAUAUUAUGAGGCAACAGCUGAUAUUUCCGAUGCCAGUCCUUGUAUGUCUGUCACACUACGCUUCCUUUCACUUAAUACCAAGACUUGUGUCCAUGUGUCAGAGAUUUACAUAUAUGCUGACCCUGUUGAAACCGACACUCCAUGUGCUCCUGUCAGUAUGGGGGAAAAUUUUGGAGGAAAUUCUCUAUUGGCCAUGUUUAUGCCGAGUCUUUUGCAAUUAUCUAAAUCGGGAACUAGCACACAAGACAAAUUUUUUGGUGCCUCGGCAUUGCGUAAGUAUCAGUAUGGUGUGCAAAAGGAAGCCGAGCUAGUAAGCUCAGAUAUGGCAGUUGUUAUGCCACAAGAAGCAACAUCUGAUAAGGUAGAUUGUACACUGGGGCUUGAUCAUAAACAGGUUCAGUUAAAACCAGAAAAUACAUUUUCCACAUCAGACCAGAGGAUAACCGACCAAGAAGUACCAUCUUGCUCGGUGGAUCAAAAAUUGAAUCAAGUACGUGAUCAGAGUGAGAUAAAACCAGAAAACAUGCAGUUGGGAUCUAAUCAGAAAAUAACAGAGAGAGAACCAUCUUCAAGUACCUCUAUACAGGGAACCAAGGCAAGAACUGAAAAUGUACAAUCAACAUAUAGUGAGAAACAAAUUGGUCUUGUUCAUAUGUCAAAAUCAUCUGCUCAACAAGAAUACAAAGCAGGUGAUCGUAUUGAAAGGGUUCUGGAUGAACUUGUUUCGAGGGUGACAAGAAUAGAAGCAUUCUGUUCAAGAUUUGAGGAAAGCUUGUUAAAGCCGCUCAGUUGCAUCGAGACAAGACUUCAGAACCUGGAGAGGCUAUUUCACACUGCAGGAGGUCAGUUUCCUCGACAAGGUGCAUGUACAAGGAUAUCAGCCCCAGAAUUUUCAUCCGAUUUAGAAAAUGACAGUUUGAACCCUUCACCUGCAUCAGGGGAUAACGAUAAGGAUGAUACUGUUCUUCAUGAUCCACCAUUACCAGUUGAUGCCAUGCUGCAUCCAUCAUUACCGGCUUCUGGUGUUACAGGCUGUGUCCCGGAUUCUAGGAUAUACCCAGGUCUGGUACUUAAGGCACCUGAAUUCUCCAACGAAGAUGAUGAAUGUUUAAAGUAUGAUGCUGGUCUAGCUUCUGAUGCUAAUUGUAGUCAGGAUAAGAAGCUUUGUUCCACAGGCAACAAAGAUUCUGACGGUAUUAAAGAUGAUGUGAGUUUAGCUUCUGACUUGAACUGUAGUGAAGAUAAGAAGCUUUCAUCUUUUGACCACGCAUUAGCUUCGGCAUUGCAAGCAUUUUUAAGCUCAAAGCCCAACGCGACUGUGAUGGAACCUUACGAGAUUUGUGCUGGUGAUGAAAGUGUUCUCAAUCCUUCUCUUAUUAAAGUUCUCUCUAAUGGAGCUGACACUUCUGUCAGCACAUUGAAUGAAGUAAAGGACACCACGGUUAGUGACUCUUCAUUUCCAGUUUCAGGAGCUUCUGAAAGGUCUGUCAGAAAUCCUGAAUGCGAUACUGGUUGUAGUAUACGAGGCAUCUCAGAGGUCUCUGCUGCUUUAGAUGGCUCAUCAACACCUGUUGAUGCUUUGGUCUCUUUUUUGCCUGCCCCUGUGAUGGAUUCAGGUUUGAUAUUCAAGGCACCUGAGUUUUCAAGUGAUGAAGAUGAGUUUGAUAAUUAUGAUGAUAUGACAGAGACUAAUAGUCAUAAUUUCCAUGAAGAUGAAGCAUACAUGCGCAUGGAUGGUGAAGCGGUCUCUCAAAUAGUGGCUUUUCUUUCCUCGGAGAAGCUCAAGACUUCCAACUGCACUUCGAAUCUGGUAGCCAUUUCAUCUGACCCUUACAAUGUUGAUAAGAGUGAAACAUCUUCAUUAGUGGUUGGAGUUCCAUGUGAAGGAGCUGAUGGACUGGACACCCAAAAUCAUGGAAUCAGUACGAAAGAUACUGAUUUCAGCAUCUUGACUAGUAAAACUGGUUUGGACUGCGAUGAAGACGAGCACUGGCUCGAGAGAGCAAGUACCAGUCCCCUUGGGUGUUCCUUGGAAAAGAGAGGAGACCAAGUGAAACUACAUGGAUAUCAUUCCACUUCGGCAACUGCAUCAGAGGGAAGACUUCUCACGGAGGAUCUGUCUCAUAAUGUGAGUUUUAUAUCAGAUUGUAGUGCUAGCAAGGAUUGGCAAGGAGGUCUACUUAAUGACAGCGAUGAUGAUCAAGUAGAUCCUGGUGGAGCAAGCCUGAUCGAACUUGGUAAAGGAUGGACCGGGAGCAGUAGCACAUUCGCAAGCUUGGUCACCGAUUCCAUCAAAAAUAAAGAUCAGGUUGGCGUCAUGGAUUCAUCAGCUUCCACUGCUGACCACUACGAUGGGCAAGCUGCAAAUGAAACUGGAAGUAUACAUGAGAACACGAUGAGUGCCGCCGGCCAAAGCAACAUUGCUUCAAGUGCCAAUGACUCCAGCAGUCCCAACGAUAAUUAUGCAGGCUGUAGACUCGAACAAACACCGACUUCAGCUUCAUCCUCUGAUGAUCCAAUUUGGGAUGUCACGUUUGUUCCUGAAAGAGAUUGGAGCAGUGGAGUUCCACUACAAGUUUUGCUGGGCGAAUCAUGCGAUGAUGAGGUUCAAGACACUGCUGCCAUAGAUGCCACUGAGUACUGUAUCGCAACAGAUAAGCUUCUCGAAGGGAUGGAGAACCUUAGCCUUACAGGCGACAGUUCUGACUUACGCAAUGACUCUGGCUGCAUCAAUCAACAAAACUUCCCUAGUUUAAUAUAGACUGCAAAGAACCGAAUAACUGUGUUCAGAUGUUUAUUGGGUAUAAAUUUGGUAUCAGAAUUUAGCAUGAAAAUAAAGGUAAAGAAGGCACAACAAGACACUCUGUAUCGGGACAAGCAGUAGAAAGCUCUAUUUGUGGGCAUCUGAUUCUGUUAAUGGUUGCAUCUCAUCCCAUAACACGUAAGUCCUAACCUAGAAAGAAUUGAUGAUAAUGAUGGACAUCGAAGUCCGACUAGUAAUUAUACAUGAAAUAGGAAUAGUAUAUAAUUAUGUUUUGCUUUUUAUUUCGUUUUGAUUGAGAAUGGUCAACAUAAAUAUCGGAGAUUACUAUUUAAAAUUCUCAUUUUUUACUAUUUAUAAUUUUAUUUUAUUUUAUUAAAAAUAAAUUAUAUAUAUAUAAUAUGCAUAUAUAUUUAUUUUUUUUAAUUUUGUUUUUCUUCCUUCUUAAAUAUUAUUUUUUAACACGAGUUCCGUGUCGGACCGAAUCUCGAAGACCGAGAAUUCAACGUCACCACUUCCAUCGUCGUCUUCCUCGGCACCCCUCUUCUUCUCCUUGGCAGACUGGCCUGUUGGUUCGGCUUCCGUCCGUUUUACCUCCGGCUUCUCAGGUGAAUCAAGACUUCCUUCUCGAUCUGAGGUCGCCGUGUAUCUCUGUUCUUCUUGUAAUUGUUAUUUUUGGGCACAAUGUCGUGGUCGAUGAGUAGAAUGUAUCGAAGGGAUUUUAUGCCCGGCCUGCGUCGAUGCUACUUCAUGCUUGCUCGUAAAGAACACACAGAAACCUCAAGUGGUUGAUGGAUGGGACCAAUUACGCACGAAGGGUCAGAGAGGGAUUAAACAAGUCCAAGCGCAAAAGUAGGCAUGGAUCCCACUUGUUAUAUCGAUUUCAGCCUGUUGCCCUAACAUUUAGUUUUAGAUCGAGUUGUGAAUACUGGUUUUCCUGGUGGAAGAAACUUGAAAUCUGUGCUCUACUCUGCCCGUUCUUUGUUUGGCGUUUAUGUUUCAUCACAACUAUUUUAGUCAUGGCACAAAAUUUUAGUGCUUUGUGGAGCCCACACUUUAGGCCCAAGUAAUUUGUGGGCAUUGCUGAAGCAUCACCAUCCAAAUGGAGUCAUGUCUCUUGGUUCGAUUGAGUCUAGAUUAGACUUUGAAGAUUUUCUAUAGGAUACAGUCUCAUUAUUAGUUGAUGUUUUAUAUUUUGUUUUAUUGAAAAUAUGAUAAGAUAUGAUCCUAUCUCUAACAGGUUCUUGAUUACUUGUUACUUUUUAGAUGACACAUGAGGUAGAAUCAGUAUGUUAUGCAAUAUCAGAAGUGGUUAAACAAGUUCUUGUGCCCUUCCUUCUUUUCAUAUGACAAGUGUUUCUUUUAUCUUUCUAAUCUUCUUCUGAUCCAGUUUGUCAUCUUCUCACAUUUUCACUCUCUUUAUGACUUGAUAUCUAUAGUGUCAUCUUAAUUUAAGAAUUUUACUAUUUUAACAUGGUGAGAUUUUGCACCAUUUGAUUGGGAAAGACAAUAUUGACUUUGUGUGUUUUUCUAAUUCAAUUAGGACUAAAACUUCUCUCAGACAGGAGGGCUGAGUUGGAAUUGAAUCAAAUUUUGACUUGGAGAUGGUGUCAUAUGGCCGACGAAUGAAUCUUCUGAUCACUCAUAAAAAGAUGCUAAUCAAGUUCUCAUCACAAAUUUACUUCUGCAUUAAUAAGUCCCUCUUGUAUCUUCAAAAUGAUCCAACCAUGGUUGUUUGAGGCCUUAAAAAGAUUUAGUUGAACUCUUGUAUCUUUCUCUAUUUAUUGAUUGGUGUCCUAAAGGCCAAUCAUAAAUAUUGAGAUUCAUACAUUAUGACACACUUAGUGCCCCUUUUUCUUACCGAAAUUGAUAUCUAAUUGGACUUAGGGGUGAAAUUAGUUUAUUUGUGAGAAAUUAGUUUAUAAAUUGGAAAGUGUGGACUUUGGCAAAUAGAGAUUCAAUCAUUUGUGAGAAAUUGGGAAGGGAAUAUUGUUUAUUUGACAGGACAGCUUUAUAAAUGUGGCUUGGCAUGGAAAGGAACCUAAAACUAAUAACCCAUUUGGAUGAGAUUAUAACACUCUGAUUAGUCCUACAUCGGAAAUGGGCAAGACUAAUAUUGACUUAUAAAGGUCUGAUGGGUAUACUAUAUCAACUUCAGUUUAAGCAUUUUGACCAAUGGUUUAGAUCAAAUGAAGUUGGUAGAUCAGUUAUUUAUUAGGCUCGGGUUAUGAAAAGAGAAUAUUGUAACAUCCUGAUUAAUCCCAUAUCAAAAGUGAGCAAUAUUAAGGGUGACUUAUAAGAGUUUGAUGAGUGUAUAAUUAUCAACCUCAAUUUAAGUAUUAAGUAUUUUGACUAAUGGUUUAGGUUCAACGAAGUUGAUAGGCUAGUUAGUCUUUCAAGUUUGAGUCAUGACAGCGAUAGCUCUUCGCAUUGGCAUCCAUACUUUUUUUUAACUACAAUAUAGAAGUAUAAUAGUGGCUAAUUCAACAUGACAACAUUUCCUAAUCGUUUGAUUUUUAUUCUUUCUAAUAACUAAUUCACAACUGACUUAAACUGUUCUAGGGGCACGCUUGUAAAGGUUAAUAAAGUUUGUUAUUUGAAAGUUCCCUUGAAUUACUCCUUUUAUUAAGUACAACAGCAAUUUCAGUAGUGCUUGUAUGUGACAUGAGAUGUUGCUUACUUUUGUCCUGAACAUUAGCUAUGGAGCUUAUCAAAUUGGUUAUUUGCAGAAAUGGAUGGUGUCACUAGCUCAGGCUUGUUUCCAUUGCAGCGUUGCAAAACUAUCCACCUGGUUUGUUUUAAUUAAAAUUUUUCCUAAUUACUCUUGUAUCAAAGAGACUUCUUUUGACCUCAAAGUUUAGUCAAUUAUGCAAUGCAUAUGUAGGUUAGGCAUGCACAAGGUAUUCAUAAUAAGGGACAUGAAAAGGACCAUAGAGCAUACUCAUCUCCAGAGUUCUUUGAUGCGCACCUUACUCCACUGGGAUGGGAUCAGGUACGUUUGAUACUUUUUUGUAGUCAUAUGUGCAAUUUUUGUUCAUUAGAGAUUUUGUGAGAGAAUUCAUUGUACCACUCAAUAAGCUCAUUGUAACAGACUUAUUGGGCAGCAAAUAGGCCGGUAUCGAUUGGUACUAAUUGGUAAGCUUGUUGCUGAAUACCCAUAUCCUGUUUUCAAAGUAACAAUAGUUCACAGCUAUAUCUCUUUCCCUCCUUCGCCACCUUCUCUUCUUCGUGUUGCCACCGCCCUUCUCCUCCUACUGAUACGUGUCAUCACCUCCUCCUUUCCGCAUCCUCCUCUUCUCUUCCACCUCCUCCUCCUCCUCUGGCCAGACUUGUGACAGUCAACAUGGAGGUGGAUCUGAUACAUUAUACACCGAACCGUACUGCUACAACACCAGGCUGCUUAAGAACUGGCAUUGGUACCUUUCUAAGAUUUGAAAUCUUGGAACUAGUAAACAACCAAAGCUAGCACCUAUUUCGUGACAAAGUUUGGAACCAUAUAUGAGAUGUGGUAGGAAAAUACACUAUUGUGCUCUAAAGAAAGAUGACCCGAGGUUAAAUUAAUCAAAGUUAUAAUAGUUGUGUGAAAUGCAAUUUGGAGGAUUUAGAAUUUAUAUGGUGAAACUAUGAAAGUGCAUGUAGAUGUCAAAUUUCUGCAUGAUUCUGUUACUUGGAUAAAAGUGUUACUUGGUGGAGUGCUAAUAGCACAGGUUCAAUUACAGAGAUGGGUUAGAAAUGGGUGUUGCAGAUUCAAUCAGGUUUUCAAUAAACUGCAAGAAAAAAUUUAAGAGCCCUUCAUGCAAAGUGAGAUCAAGAAGUAUGUCUAUUUUUAAGAAAGAUCGAUAUAUGUAUGCUAUGAGACAUGAAUAGUUUGCGAGAGCAAAUAGAUAAAAUUCGUUCAGAUAAAAACUUCUAACCAACAUAAAUAUGCUCGAGAUACAGUUUAUUAAUUUUGUAUGGUAAUAUAUAUGCUUCUUGAGUUUAUUCUGGCAUCUUUGUUGUUAUCAGAUGUUCUUUUACUCUUACGAUCUUAGGUUACUUUUACAGGUUGAUAAUCUCCGUAAACACAUUAAAUCUUGUGGCUUAUCAAAGAGAAUUGAAUUGGUUAUUGCAUCCCCUUUGUUAAGGUAUAUUUUGUCCAAUUUUCUUGUUUGCACUUAAGUACAAAGAAGCACUAAGAGCGCAUGUCAAAGCCAUGUACUUAACUUCCUAUAUGUUUUGAAAAUAUUGCUAUGACUUAUUGAGUUUCUUAUAUUUCCCAUCUGGUAUUUUGGAUUUUAAGCAUUAUAUUUCUUUUGCUUAGGACAUCAAAGGUUCUGCCAUGGGAUCAGAUAUUCAAGGCAUAUGAUUUACAUGAUGUGUUGGCAUGAAUUGAUUUAUAAAUCUUUGAAGUGUACUAACAAGGAUUUCUGCUGUUUAUUAGCAUGAAACAUUGUAGUGUUUAUAGUCUAUGGGGCCAGUAUUAGUUUGAUUUUGCUAUAGUCACUCUGUCAUGCAAAGUUGAUUUCAAAUACGUCCUAUGGAUUUUGAGUCUAAAUCAAGCCUAUUUAAGAAAGAAGGAUCUAAAGGAGUAAGAAAAACUUUUUUGGUUUUGAAUUUAAUGUGAUCCUCCUUGUGUAUUUACCAUUUCAAUUGCUGUUGAAUUGUAAAUCUCCAGUGAUUACCUACACAUAUAAUCUUCUGAUGUGAAUGGAAUAUUUGUAAACAGUUAGAGGUUUUUCUUUUAAGUUGUUUCGUCUUCGUGACCUGAAGAGUAGUUUGUGAUCUUAACUUUUUAGUAGCUCAGGAGGGCUGAAUGCCCAUUCAGUUUUAGAGAAUUACUAUGUUAGUCCAUUGUCAUGACCUUACAAGUAAUUUUAUAACAAAUUGUUAUGAAAAGCUAAUUGAAUAGGUCAUAAUUAUUAUAUGAAAAUUUAAUGUCAGGAUUGAAAUUAAGUAUGAUAGAUCCAAGAUAGAAGGUACGUACCUUCUAAACAUGAUACUUUGGAUGUCGUGAUGCAACGCACAGUGAUCUGCAUGCAUCAUUAAUAUGCAGAAAAAUGAAAUCAGACUCUCAUUCUCCUCUCUUCCUUUUACUUUUUUUUAUAUUAUCUUCUUAUUUUCAGGACCACUCAGUAUUAUUAUAAUCGAUGGCCUUUCCUUUUACUCUUUUCUUAUAUUCUCUUCUUAUUCUCAAGACCACUUGGUAUCAUUAUAAUUGAUGGAGUAGAGGGACCUAUCGAGAGGUGAGAGAAGAAAUCUCUAUGAUCAUGCUUAUAAUAUGAUCUUUGGAAGGUUUCACCUAUAUAUAUAGGCGAGAAUAGAGGAUCUAAAAAAGAUAAUUAUGAGAGUUCCUCUCAUCAAGGUCAUCUCUUUAGAUAUUCUGAUAUAAAUGAACUUUUUUUUUAUUGAUCAAUGACCUUAAUUAGAAUCCAAUUAUAUUCUUUAUAUUUUAAAACUUUAGAAAGUAUUUAUAAGCACAUAAAUUUAAAAAAAGUCAAUAAGUCUAAUAAAUAUAAUAAUAUUAAUUAAAUUAGAUAAGCAAUACGAGUUAUAAUGAUUGUAUAUCAUCAAUAUCAUACUUCAUUCUAUAUACUACAACACUGUUAGUAUUUCAUAAUGCAGUCCAAAACGAUCCUUGUAAUUUGUAAGUUACAAACUACAUCUCCUUCUCUAAUAAAACAGGUAACAUUGAGUGACUCAUAGAUGUAAACGUAUAUAAUCUCAACAAAUUCAUAAAACUAUAUUUCAUUAUAAUAUUUAAUUGUAUGGUAGUUGCAAAUUCAAGAUUCAUAUUGAUUUUGUAUAAAUCAUCAUAUAGAAUUUUAUAACCAAUUUUAAUUGAAUAAUAAAUAUACUGAGUUUGUCGUUGUCAAAAGAAAGAUGAUAUCCUAACAAUUUUAGAU